rnacentral:lncRNA from 1 species
UUUAGAGCUAUUGAUUGUGAUUUUGUUUGACGUUUUUAUUAUCGAUGGCAAUCAUCAGUUAUGAAAUUUCGAUUUUGGAUCGCAAUACAAGAUUUUCUUUGUCGCAAGUGAAAAUGAAAGCUAUAUUAGUGUAGAUGAAUUUAGAUGAUGCGUUCUUGAGAUUUGACAAGAUGCCAGCAACUUGGACAACAGAGAAAUAUCAACAGAAGGAUU